rnacentral:lncRNA from 1 species
UUUUUAAUUUGAUGGUGGAAAUACUAUUAAUUUCUGGUUUCAUUUUACCCUGUUCUUCCUCUUAGGUGCCUAAACAAUGAUAUCCUGAUUCGCUUUUGGCAAAUCUUAAUUACUUUUACCAACAGUCUCUACAAUUAAGAGGCUUAAGGAGACACGCAUUACUAAAAUCAAAGCUGUUCAUAUCUGCUGCUUUCUCACUGCUUCUGCAAAAGACUUGAGACAACUCACGAUGAAGUGCUCUGUAUCAGUCAGGGUGAUAUUGAUUGCAAGGGACAGAAACCCAAUCAGAAACUCACUGGAGUCAUGAGGAACACUUAUUGGCUCAGAUAACC